CUUUAUUUCUGCCAUGGAAGGUCUUGCAGGGUCGUGUUAUAGCCACAGUCACUGACAUGCUUCAAAGGCUACCAACAUUAAUUUGGCAUCAACAGCCAACCAUCAUGCCAAAGCUGACUACAAAUCCUUGUAUUUCUUCUGUAUUGUUUAAAGAAAUAUAACUGAAGGGUGAAAAAGAGGGAUUCUUCUUGGAGUGAUUUUAAAUUGGAGCCACACAUCUGCAGUUACUGCCAAAUAACUUUCAGGCAGCCCCUCCCCUGGGGGCACAGGACUUUUAUCAUUACCCUUGCAAAAAAAAGCCUGAGCAUGCAAAAUGCCAACAAAAACCUAAACAAAGGAAGAAUGAAAAAUUAGCAUUAAAGGCAGCAGAUUUAAGUUAUAGAAAUGUAUAUAAUUUAUUUUGAUUAUGAUGAUGAUAAAAUGUGUGUUUAAGAGGCUACUCUUGCAAAUAAUAAUAAUGAACAAAUGAAGCACCAAGCAUAAGUGCCAAAGAAAGAAAACAGUGAAUGGUUCAGGAGGAGAACAGAGGUGAAUGGUUCAGGAGGAAAGAACUCUGCUUGAAAGAAGAUGAGAUGUAAUGGCUUCAAAAUGCAGAUGGAGCAGGAUGCAGGGCUGUUACAGGAAAGAAGGCAACUGUGGUGGUUUUGCAUGGACUGACAUUUGGGGAAGAAGUAAGAAACCACCCACCAAAGUGAUGUCUCUGAGAGAAGCUGCUGGGAGCUUCCUCUGUGCCUUGAAAAGGCCAAUAGCUGGCUCAUUCUGAGAACUGACAACGUUUUAAGCCAUUUUGAAGUUGGACUCUCCUCUGUGAAUUCCACAUUUUAAAGACAGCAAGCCCAAGAAAUCUCACUCUUUGCUUCUGUCCUCAAAAGGUAGCAGAGCUCUGGUGGGGCCGGCCCCGCGGCCUGUGCGGCCUGUGCGGCCUGUGCGGCCUGUGAGGCCUGUGAGGCCUGUGAGGCCUGUGAGGCCUGUGCGGCCUGUGAGGCCUGUGAGGCCUGGGGUAGGCCGGACCAAACCCCAGCGGCUCCCGGGUGGGGAUGGAGGCUGUGGGGUCCUGGGCCCAGGCAGGGCCAGGCCACGGCUGCUGACAUCUCGCCAACAACCAAAAACCACCCCCGGGCCCACACAGAUGGCUCCAGGCUGAGCCAGGACUGCCUGUCCCCCCUCCCAGCAGCUGCCAGGCUGAGGGAGGCACCCAGCAUGGCCUGAAAUCCAACACCAUGACUGCUGCGGCCACUAGGAGAGAUAUUAAUCCUUUCACUACACAGACGAGACCCUCAGACCUUGUUCCUCUGUCCAGGGAGAGAAAAAGAGUGAUGACACGUGGAAGGACAACAUGAAAACGCCAAGGUUAGUUAAGAAAGAGUCAAGCCUUGGAUGGAAGGAGAAUGAGGAGAUGCCCCAGUGGGGCUGAAAGCUCUUGGUAGUACCCUGGAGACAGACAAUGAUACACUGAAAUAUCUCCUUUAAUUUAUAAAAGUAUGGGAGGAUGAGGUGUUCAAAUUGUAGAUGUGAGCAGAGGCAUCCACUGAUGAAGCCAAGCAGAUGCUGGCAUAGCUGUGAUCCCAUGAGAAGCUUGAACAGAGAGAGAUGAGAGUGAUGAAGACCCUUUGCCCCCAGGGAGAGAAGAAGAAAACCUCUGUUCCCAGAGAUGAUCACAGAGAUAGAUGAAGAGAACCUUUUCCUUUGAAGAACUCAUCCUUAAAAUGAUACCCCAUGAGUUCAUGGCCCAUGGAAACACCUCUAGAAGGGCUGUGAAAAUG
rnacentral:lncRNA from 1 species